rnacentral:rRNA from 1 species
AUUGAACGCUGGCGGCAGGCCUAACACAUGCAAGUCGGACGGUAGCACAGAGAGCUUGCUCUUGGGUGACGAGUGGCGGACGGGUGAGUAAUGUCUGGGGAUCUGCCCGAUAGAGGGGGAUAACCACUGGAAACGGUGGCUAAUACCGCAUAACGUCGCAAGACCAAAGAGGGGGACCUUCGGGCCUCUCACUAUCGGAUGAACCCAGAUGGGAUUAGCUAGUAGGCGGGGUAAUGGCCCACCUAGGCGACGAUCCCCAGCUGGUCUGAGAGGAUGACCAGCCACACUGGAACUGAGACACGGUCCAGACUCCUACGGGAGGCAGCAGUGGGGAAUAUUGCACAAUGGGCGCAAGCCUGAUGCAGCCAUGCCGCGUGUAUGAAGAAGGCCUUCGGGUUGUAAAGUACUUUCAGCGGGGAGGAAGGCGACGCGGUUAAUAACCGCGUCGAUUGACGUUACCCGCAGAAGAAGCACCGGCUAACUCAGUGCCAGCAGCCGCCGUAA